UACGUAGGGGGCUAGCGUUGUCCGGAAUCAUUGGGCGUAAAGAGCGUGUAGGCGGCUCGGUAAGUCCGCUGUGAAAGUCCAGGGCUCAACCCUGGAAUGCCAGUGGAAACUGUCGAGCUAGAGUCCGGAAGAGGCGAGUGGAAUUCCUGGUGUAGCGGUGAAAUGCGCAGAUAUCAGGAGGAGCACCAAUGGCGAAGGCAGCUCGCUGGGACGGUACUGACGCUGAGGCGCGACAGCGUGGGGAGCAAACAGG
rnacentral:rRNA from 1 species